rnacentral:lncRNA from 1 species
UUCACUAUCUGCAAAAACUCUAUCCAAAACAUAAGAUUUUCAUUUAUAACAAUUUUAAUCUAUGUUUAACCACUAGUAUUUGAAACACUCAAAUUUGACAUUUCAUUAAUUUGAAACCAUUUAAUCAUUUCUCAUUUCAAACAAACUCUCCCAACCUGUUGUUCAUCAUGUUUAGCACUCGGAAUUUUAAAAAUCAGCUUUCCAACAACAGUUGUCAAAAAUAAGAUGAAAUAAAAUCUUUUUGAAUUUUUCAAAAUUUUAAUGCUAAAACACAUUCUUUUUUGUCUUUAAUGAAAAGCAAUAAAGAAAUAUUUACAGACAAUAUUUUUGUGAGUUUGAGUAAGAGGACCAUAUCAGUUUUUGAGACAAAUCACUAACACUGUUAAGCUUUAAACAUUUUAAGUUCUAAACGAUUCACUUAGAUUGUCAGUAUACUGAUCCACUUAAAUUUUCACACAAAGUUCAACUGUUUCGAGAUACGAGAUUAGUGUUUUAAGGACUUAAACUUAUUCGCGUGUACCACCUCAGAAUAUACUCCCGUAUCUAGACUUCUAUAUUCAGUCUUACAGGUGAAUGUACACUAAUGAUAUUUGUAAACGGACAAAGAGAUGAUGGCUCGUCUUUAGGUGUGUCCCGUUUGGGGAUCUUUUCUUCAACAGCACAUGAUUAGCAUUUUUCAAUGUUACCGCAUUGGGCCUUCGGGCGGAUGGGUUUUCCCCGAAACUAGAGGCUUGAUGACUCAGGUAUGCAUCCAAUUCUGACCAUUAUAGAGAAGAGGAUCAUUUGUUCGAUUGACAACGGAUGCAUAUUUAGUUGGCAUUCAAAGUAUAUAUUUUCUUGAACAUUACUAUUAUUUACAAGUAUUUAUUUUUUUAAAGCACUUUCAAAAUAAGUUUAAACCUUUUUUUUUCUAGCCAAUAUAUGAGCCAAAACAUUUAAGAAGCUCAUGAUAACGCCAAAAUAUUUAAGAAGCUCAUGAUAACGCAAAUUUCGUUUGAAAAUUGAGGUCAUGUAUUCAACAAAAACCUAUCUUUGAAGAAUUCAUCUAUUAAGUAUACUAGAACAAAACUAACUUAUACCACUUGUUAUGAACUUAGGCCUAUUAUGGCCAGUUGGCAAUAAAUAUCACUCAUUCAUGUGUUUGAGCGACAAAAUCAUUCACAACCUCUUCUUCUUCUUAAUCACAAAUUCUCUUCCAUAGUUAGAUUUAAUUAACUUACCGAUUUUAUAUUCAAACCAAGAAAAUAAACAUUAUUUAUGGUAUACAAAAUUAAUUCAUUUUGUUGAUGUUACCAUUUACCAUAUAUUUAUUCUUUAUAGCUUAUUCAUAAUCUAUCUAUACUUUUAAUAAAAUGGCAAAUGCCGCUGACAUCACAAUGCUGAGUUGGCAAUCAGAUAGGCUGUCCAACAAUGCCUAUCUGAUGUCAUUAUUACAUAAUAAAUGUUAAUUUAAAAUCUUUUAAAAUACAUUUUAUCUGUACGAAAUUCAAACCUCUGCUCACUAUUCAAAAUUCAAAACCUCUGGCCACAUUCAAAAUUCAAAAUUUUGGCUCCACAUAUAUAACAUACAUGAUUUAGGAUCUACAUUCAAAAUUCAAACCAUACUUUCAAUCCAUCUCUCUCUCUCUCUCUCUCUCUCAAAUCUAGAGCUCCCAUGAUUCAGCCGGUUAAUCUCCGAUUACACAUCAGUAUUCGAACAUUUUCGUUGCUCGAUUCUUCGAAAUCUCUGUAAAGAGAUAUGUUUUACUGAUUCCGUUUAUACAUCAUCGUUCCAACGAAGCUUCCAAUUACACAUCAUCGUUCCAACGAUGCCUCGAAAUCGCUAGCUAAUCUCCGAUUACAAAUCAUCGUUCUAACACUAUCGAACAAAGAAGCUUCCAAUUCGUGGAACUCUGUAACUUUAAUAGCCCUGACAGUCAAAUA